rnacentral:tRNA from 1 species
UCCCUGGUGGCUCAGAUGGUAGAGAAUCUGCCUGCAAUGCAGGAGACCCAGGUUUCAUUCCUGGGUCUGGAA